GACAUUUUGGUCUUUGUCCGCGGGUCAGUACGGCCCCUGGGUCCACGUGGCGCGAAAGUAGGAGGAAGACAUAGGCCAAGGAGCCAGACUUCCUGUGUUAACUCCUUCCUCUGCCACUUUUUACCUUGGGGACCUCAGAGAUGGGGUCUUGCCAUGUUGCCUAGGCUGGUCUUGAACUUCUGAGCUCAAGUGAUCCUGCCCACCUCAGCUUCCCAAAGUGCUGGGAUUAGUGGCAUGAGCCACUGCGUCCAGCCCACGUUAAUAUGAUCCUCUGUUGAAGCAAGAAGACAAACUGUAUGGUGGAGAAAGAAGUGGGAAGGAUCUGCGCGGAAGAAGCCUGAGAAGAUGAUGCACAGAUAGAGAGGCACCAGGACUUGAGAGGCACCAGGACUUGGGAGGCAUGUUGAUCCAUCUCCAGGAAAGACUGAGAAAAAGAGCGUUGAAUAUAAGAAAAAAUACUUCCUCUGUUCUCAGAUCGUAUUUGUUUUAAGGCCACACCUUUUUGAAGUUUUCAGUUUGAAACACAACCUGGACUGAAAUCAUGAGGGAGGUUGUGUAGGAAAGAAUCAUCAAGGGACUUAGUUGGGAGCUUCUCUACCACAGCUUACUCCUUAUGGUAUUAACCCCCUUUAAGUGUAAAUGUCUUUGGUUUAAAACGUUUGUACCUCAUCUGUUACCAGAGUGUUCAUACUGGAGAGAAACCCUAUGAAUUUACUGAAUGUGGGGGAACU
rnacentral:lncRNA from 1 species